GGUUAAGCGACUAAGCGUACACGGUGGAUGCCCUGGCAGUCAGAGGCGAUGAAGGACGUGCUAAUCUGCGAUAAGCGUCGGUAAGGUGAUAUGAACCGUUAUAACCGGCGAUUUCCGAAUGGGGAAACCCAGUGUGUUUCGACACACUAUCAUUAACUGAAUCCAUAGGUUAAUGAGGCGAACCGGGGGAACUGAAACAUCUAAGUACCCCGAGGAAAAGAAAUCAACCGAGAUUCCCCCAGUAGCGGCGAGCGAACGGGGAGCAGCCCAGAGCCUGAAUCAGUGUGUGUGUUAGUGGAAGCGUCUGGAAAGGCGCGCGAUACAGGGUGACAGCCCCGUACACAAAAAUAGCACAUGCUGUGAGCUCGAUGAGUAGGGCGGGACACGUGGUAUCCUGUCUGAAUAUGGGGGGACCAUCCUCCAAGGCUAAAUACUCCUGACUGACCGAUAGUGAACCAGUACCGUGAGGGAAAGGCGAAAAGAACCCCGGCGAGGGGAGUGAAAAAGAACCUGAAACCGUGUACGUACAAGCAGUGGGAGCACGCUUAGGCGUGUGACUGCGUACCUUUUGUAUAAUGGGUCAGCGACUUAUAUUCUGUAGCAAGGUUAACCGAAUAGGGGAGCCGAAGGGAAACCGAGUCUUAACUGGGCGUUAAGUUGCAGGGUAUAGACCCGAAACCCGGUGAUCUAGCCAUGGGCAGGUUGAAGGUUGGGUAACACUAACUGGAGGACCGAACCGACUAAUGUUGAAAAAUUAGCGGAUGACUUGUGGCUGGGGGUGAAAGGCCAAUCAAACCGGGAGAUAGCUGGUUCUCCCCGAAAGCUAUUUAGGUAGCGCCUCGUGAAUUCAUCUCCGGGGGUAGAGCACUGUUUCGGCAAGGGGGUCAUCCCGACUUACCAACCCGAUGCAAACUGCGAAUACCGGAGAAUGUUAUCACGGGAGACACACGGCGGGUGCUAACGUCCGUCGUGAAGAGGGAAACAACCCAGACCGCCAGCUAAGGUCCCAAAGUCAUGGUUAAGUGGGAAACGAUGUGGGAAGGCCCAGACAGCCAGGAUGUUGGCUUAGAAGCAGCCAUCAUUUAAAGAAAGCGUAAUAGCUCACUGGUCGAGUCGGCCUGCGCGGAAGAUGUAACGGGGCUAAACCAUGCACCGAAGCUGCGGCAGCGACACUAUGUGUUGUUGGGUAGGGGAGCGUUCUGUAAGCCUGUGAAGGUGUACUGUGAGGUAUGCUGGAGGUAUCAGAAGUGCGAAUGCUGACAUAAGUAACGAUAAAGCGGGUGAAAAGCCCGCUCGCCGGAAGACCAAGGGUUCCUGUCCAACGUUAAUCGGGGCAGGGUGAGUCGACCCCUAAGGCGAGGCCGAAAGGCGUAGUCGAUGGGAAACAGGUUAAUAUUCCUGUACUUGGUGUUACUGCGAAGGGGGGACGGAGAAGGCUAUGUUGGCCGGGCGACGGUUGUCCCGGUUUAAGCGUGUAGGCUGGUUUUCCAGGCAAAUCCGGAAAAUCAAGGCUGAGGCGUGAUGACGAGGCACUACGGUGCUGAAGCAACAAAUGCCCUGCUUCCAGGAAAAGCCUCUAAGCAUCAGGUAACAUCAAAUCGUACCCCAAACCGACACAGGUGGUCAGGUAGAGAAUACCAAGGCGCUUGAGAGAACUCGGGUGAAGGAACUAGGCAAAAUGGUGCCGUAACUUCGGGAGAAGGCACGCUGAUAUGUAGGUGAGGUCCCUCGCGGAUGGAGCUGAAAUCAGUCGAAGAUACCAGCUGGCUGCAACUGUUUAUUAAAAACACAGCACUGUGCAAACACGAAAGUGGACGUAUACGGUGUGACGCCUGCCCGGUGCCGGAAGGUUAAUUGAUGGGGUCAGCGCAAGCGAAGCUCUUGAUCGAAGCCCCGGUAAACGGCGGCCGUAACUAUAACGGUCCUAAGGUAGCGAAAUUCCUUGUCGGGUAAGUUCCGACCUGCACGAAUGGCGUAAUGAUGGCCGGGCUGUCUCCACCCGAGACUCAGUGAAAUUGAACUCGCUGUGAAGAUGCAGUGUACCCGCGGCAAGACGGAAAGACCCCGUGAACCUUUACUAUAGCUUGACACUGAACAUUGAGCCUUGAUGUGUAGGAUAGGUGGGAGGCUUAGAAGUGUGGACGCCAGUCUGCAUGGAGCCGACCUUGAAAUACCACCCUUUAAUGUUUGAUGUUCUAACGUUGACCCGUAAUCCGGGUUGCGGACAGUGUCUGGUGGGUAGUUUGACUGGGGCGGUCUCCUCCUAAAGAGUAACGGAGGAGCACGAAGGUUGGCUAAUCCUGGUCGGACAUCAGGAGGUUAGUGCAAUGGCAUAAGCCAGCUUGACUGCGAGCGUGACGGCGCGAGCAGGUGCGAAAGCAGGUCAUAGUGAUCCGGUGGUUCUGAAUGGAAGGGCCAUCGCUCAACGGAUAAAAGGUACUCCGGGGAUAACAGGCUGAUACCGCCCAAGAGUUCAUAUCGACGGCGGUGUUUGGCACCUCGAUGUCGGCUCAUCACAUCCUGGGGCUGAAGUAGGUCCCAAGGGUAUGGCUGUUCGCCAUUUAAAGUGGUACGCGAGCUGGGUUUAGAACGUCGUGAGACAGUUCGGUCCCUAUCUGCCGUGGGCGCUGGAGAACUGAGGGGGCUGCUCCUAGUACGAGAGGACCGGAGUGGACGCAUCACUGGUGUUCGGGUUGUCAUGCCAAUGGCACUGCCCGGUAGCUAAAUGCGGAAGAGAUAAGUGCUGAAAGCAUCUAAGCACGAAACUUGCCCCGAGAUGAGUUCUCCCUGACUCCUUGAGAGUCCUGAAGGAACGUUGAAGACGACGACGUUGAUAGGCCGGGUGUGUAAGCGCAGCGAUGCGUUGAGCUAACCGGUACUAAUGAACCGUGAGGCUUAACCUU
rnacentral:rRNA from 1 species